UACGAAGGGGGCUAGCGUUGCUCGGAAUCACUGGGCGUAAAGGGUGCGUAGGCGGGUUUUUAAGUCAGGGGUGAAAUCCUGGAGCUCAACUCCAGAACUGCCUUUGAUACUGAAGAUCUCGAGUCCGGGAGAGGUGAGUGGAACUGCGAGUGUAGAGGUGAAAUUCGUAGAUAUUCGGAAGAACACCAGUGGCGAAGGCGGCUCACUGGCCCGGUACUGACGCUGAGGUGCGAAAGCGUGGGGAGCAAACAGG
rnacentral:rRNA from 1 species